rnacentral:rRNA from 1 species
CCCUUAGAUGUUCUGGGCCGCACACGCGCUACACUGAAGGAGGCAGCGUGUACUCCUGGAUCGAAAGAUUUGGGUAACCCGCGAAUCUCCUUCGUGCUAGGGAUUGAGGUUUGCAAUUAUCCUUCAUGAACGAGGAAUUCCCAGUAAGUGCAAGUCAUAAGCUUGCGCUGACUACGUCCCUGCCCUUUGUACACACCGCCCGUCGCUACUACCGAUUGGAUGAUUUAGUGAGGACUUCGGACUGGGACCGAUGCGGCUUUCGGGCUGCGUCGGUAUUCUGGAAAGAUGUCCAAACUGUAUCAUUUAGAGGAAGUAAAAGUCGUAACA